ensembl:lncRNA
AUUAUUUAGAGAAUGAAUUUUUCUUUUCUAUUUAGUUAGUGUGGCAGAGUUCAUGUAUUGCCACACAGCACAGAAAAACUGUUACUGUAUUUUAUGCUUCAGAACAGAAGUAUGUUACUGAAUUAAUAUAAGGCAAAUUUCUUUUGUAAUACAGCUUGUGUUGUCUGGUAAUCAUGGUUUACAAAAAGUUUCAAAUUUUUUUUUUCUUCUUGUUUCUUUGGAUUGUUUUAGUGAUAUUUUUUUCUUUUUUUUAUUAGCAAUGCUGUACCAUAUUAAGUCACUUCUUCGUGCAUGAAAGAAAUGGUGUAAACUUGAAUACAAAUCCAAAAUUAAGAUCCUUAUCAGAGCAAAAUUAGAGCAACAAAAUAAAACCACACUACUAAAGCAGAGCUUCCCAAACUUACUCUGCUGAAGUUCAGGCCCUGGCAUUGAUGAUUAAAAGGCCAUUGUUCAAUUUCUUCAGAUUAUCUGUAAAUUUUCAAUAAUGGCAAUACAUUCAUUCUGCCAUUUGGAGGAGCCUGUGCCACAGAAUAAUGAUGUGAAGAAAGCUCACUUAUUUGCAAGGAAGAGUCCUCAUUUGGGAACAGUACAGCUGCAACUAAGAGGUGCUUUGUCAAGUUCAGGUCUUUGACAUUCAGUGGGAUGAGAAUCUCAGAACAGACUGACUACUGGGGACUCCCAAGCUACAGUUCAGGUAAAUAACUUAUUUGGAGGAGGAACUUAAAGGUUUCUUCUGAUUUAAAUUAUGAUAAUUAAGUAGCAAAGAGUGCAACAAACUAUAAAUAUUUUCCACUUAACAUUUAAAAUAGAUAUGCCUAUAUUUGUGAGAGGAUUUGUUAGUUACAGUUUGAGCACUAUAUAGUUAUUUAACAUUUCAGCAGUACUGUUUCUAAAGAGGACUUCUUUACUGGUACAGAACAUGAAUGUCUAGUUCUAUUCCCAGCCACAUUUUUAUCUUGUUUUCCAACAUGCAGCCAUGAGUACGUGGCUAGUUCAGCUACUGCAAUUUCCAUUUUGCAAAGACAGAGAUGUCUUUUGGUAAUGCAUGCAUAAUUUAGAAGUAACAGCUUCUAUACUGGAGUAAGUGUUAGGGGCUCUGUUCAGAUCAUGGGAUUAACUUGGUUUGUUUCCUGCUCCAGCUGGUCCCCGAUUUCUCCAGGGAGAGGGUAGCUCCAUUGUGUGUGUUGCAACAGUCCAGUGCAGUUUGUAACCUACAGCCUUAAAGUCACUCAGAACUGGUACGGCUUUACGUUUAUUUAUGCUUUUGGAAAGUACAGUGGUGCAGCAGGUACUGCUACCUCAUUAGUGGAGGCAGGAAACUCGAAGAGGAACAGGGUGGGCAAUGGGAACAGGAACUGUUAUGGCCAUCUCCAGUAAUCUUUCCUAAUUUAUCAUCCAGGGUCCUCUUUCACUCUCUGUUUUUGGAGGGGGCAGGGGUGCAGGUGGAAAACAGUUCUGUAAUUGGUACAAAAAGAGAAAAAAAGUUUCCUAUUUGAAAAGCAAAAAGUUUUCCUUCUGUGUGGUAAUGUUUCAAAGAGGAAAACAUUAAAGCUUUCAGGAUUUUUUUCAAAAAAUUUCAAUUAUAGACUAAAUUUCAAUUAUAGACUUACAUCCUUGCCUUCUUCAAAAACAGAAAGAUGUUGUAAAAGAUAAUUACUUUGAGAUAAAGAUCAAGAAUAAAAAUGCAGAGAAAGAAAAAAGAUUCUUUUCU